AUGUUCAUUCUAUUUCAGCAGUGUUGCCAUUCAUCUUCAGUUUUGAUGACUUUAUUUUACGCUUUCGUGUUUAGCCUUCAGACAGUAUGUAUGCCUGGAAAAUUUGCUGAUCUCUGUGACGAUCUGAAUGAGGACCAAAUAAAACUUGUGCAUGAGAUGGACUUAGGGCCAUUGCUUAAUGUACCCUCCAUGUCAAUCUGUCGCAUUCUUCUCGAGUCCCUUGCAGAUGGUUACAGUGAAAGGGAUAGAAGCUUUACAGUAGGUGAGCAUGUGGUUCCAAUCUGUAUUUGGGAUGUGGAAUGCAUCUUAGGUUUGCCAAACCGAGGUGAGAAGAUAACAAUUAGUAAAAAUCAAGGAGACCCAAAGUUGUUUGCGUUGUACAAGGGCAAUAAGGCGAUCACUUUCACUCACUUAGAAAAACAGAUACGGAGUGGUGUAGCUGAUGAGCACUUCAUUAGAAUGUUUGUCUUUGUAUGCAAUUGGGACAAUUUUGGCACCAUGCUCAAAGGAAUAUGUUAG
rnacentral:rRNA from 1 species